CUUUAUUGUUUACAUUUUUUAUUUUAUUUAUUUUUACAUGGUGCUGAGGAUCAAACCCAGUGCCUCACAUGUGCUAGGCAAGCACACUACCACUGAGCUUCACCCCCAGCCCUUGUUUGAAUUUUUAAAUAACAAGCAUAUUUAUUAAAACAUUUAAAUGUAGGUAAAAUUACUGCAAAAUAUCUUAAAAGAAUGAAUUCCUGUGUCUCUAAAUAUUUUAGUUUUUAUACAGUAUUAGUAUUAUUAUUGUUAUUCUGUGGUGCUAAGGAUGGAACCCAGGGCCUUGCUCAUGCUAGGCAAGCACUCUAGCACUCUAUUCAACACCAGUCCUCUAGAUAUUUUUAAUCUCUCAGUUAAGAAACAGCCAUAACCAUCUGUCAGUCUAUCAGGGAAGUCUGCACAGGGUCAGAGUGUGGAUUAGAAGACCUCACUCCAAUUCUGAAAUCAUAUGAAACUUUUCAAAAUAUCUGUGGAGUGUCUUACAGGCAAAGCACCCUUAGACAUUCAGGGAUUGCCACACAGAAACACAAGUCAUAGAAUGUACCAUCUAAUUGGGACCAGGAGGACUGAGAAGUAAGAACAUAGCAAGGCAGCUUGUGAUCACUGCUCCAUUAGUGUUGUGGAGAAGCGAGCUCUCGCCUUCUAGGUGCAUCAGGGCCGGCAUCCUUUAUGUAUAUAUGCAUAUAUUAGUUGUAGAUGGAUAAUACCUUAUUUUAUUUAUUUAUUUUUUAUCUUAAAGAAGAAUGGCUUUCUCUUAUUCACAGGGGAACUAGGGCAAGUGGUGCUGAGGAUCCAACCCAGGACCCUCACGGCACUAGGCAAGCGCUACAGCCCCAGGCCCAGGGCCGUACCUUGGAGGACUGUGGAAGGUGCUUCUGGGGGGACUAGGGGAAUGUGCGGGGUGAGGGGCAGGCAUUCUGCAGAGUGGGGGAGAGGGAACAUGUGCUCUCUUCUGAUACUUAACUUAGACAACCAGUUGUAAACUCGUGUCUCUCUGGAAGGGUAAGUGAUAAAGGCAGGGAGAGUAUUUUAGAAAAAUAUUCGAUUUUUAAUUUCUUUGAACAAGAAAUAUAUCCACAUGGUAAUAAGCUAAAAAAUUAUUAAACAUGAGAAAAUAAAAUAAACAUGAGAAAGAUCUGUAUUCUUCUCUCCUUCACAGUGUACAGACUUUUUUUUUUUUUAAAGAGAGAGUGGGGGAGAGAGAGAGAGAGAGAGAGAGAGAGAAUUUUUUUAAUAUUUAUUUUUUAGUUCUUGGCUGACACAACAUCUUUGUUUGUACGUGGUGCUGAGGAUCGAACCCGGGCCGCACGCACGCCAGGCGAGCGCGCUACCGCUUGAGCCACAUCCCCAGCCCUACAGACUUUUCUGAUCUCAGCUAUUUCUAGAAUAAAGGUCAAGUUAGCUAGGGCAUGGAAAGACUAGAUUCCAGCUUUAUGGGGUAGUGGCUGGACUGUUCUUGCAGAAACUUGCUCGGCCAAUGGGAAUCUUUUCUAAACCACCUACCCAGCUCUGCUCCCGGAUCUUGGCCCCAGGCUGCAGUUGACAGUUUACCUUUGGGAUCAGGAUGGCCAGAGGAGUUCUGCCAUCCUAGGAACGACUGCCCACUCAGCCAUCUCCAGUUUUCCCAGUGAUUGAAGGAGGUUGGGCCAGUUGAGACUGGCAACACCUGGCAAUGCCUGAGGACAAGACUGUCCUGAGGAGUGGCCUGGUGUUUUUACUUUGUACUUCUUUUACAAACAUAAUACAGACUACACACCUACCCCAGUUGCAGUACAGGUCUCAUUUUAAAAGAUAUGAGAAGCUGUUUCUGUCACCCUCUAUCUCAUCUACAGCCCAGGUCUGCCAGGUGAUUAGGUAGGUGGCAGGCCAAGAAGCUGGUUGUGGUGGCACAUGCCUGUAAACCCAGCGGCUUGGGGAACUGAGACAGGAGGAUUGCAAGUUCAAAGCCAGCCUCAAAAGCAAGGCACUAAGCAGCUCAAUGAGACCCUGUCUCUAACUAAAA
rnacentral:lncRNA from 1 species